CUGUAUACUCUCUCCGCCAUUUUCACAAAAUUCUUCAUUUCUUAAAAACCCUAACUUACCUUUUGGCUACGGAUGACGACGUCGUUUGGAGCAGCGAUCAAUAUCGCCGCCGUCGAUGACCCCAACCCGAAGCUACAAAUUCAGAGGUUCAAUGGAUUGAAAAGCACCUCUAAUUCGAUUUUGCUUAGCAGACGUAUCCAUCGCUCAUUUUCUCAUUCCAAUUCUACUUCUAUUGUCCGUGCUGUAUCUACGCCAGCGAAGCCAGCUGCGGUGGAGCCCAAGCGUAGUAAGGUUGAAAUCUUCAAAGAACAGAGUAACUUCAUAAGAUAUCCUCUAAAUGAGGAGAUUCUUAAUGAUGCCCCAAACAUCAAUGAGGCUGCAACACAAUUGAUUAAGUUUCAUGGAAGCUAUAUGCAAUACAACAGAGACGAGCGUGGAUCAAGAUCAUACUCAUUUAUGCUUCGGACAAAGAACCCUGGUGGUGAAGUACCGAACAAACUCUACUUAGUCAUGGAUGAUCUUGCUGACCAAUUUGGGAUUGGGACACUCCGUUUGACAACAAGACAGACCUUUCAGCUGCAUGGGGUCUUGAAGAAAGACCUAAAGACAGUAAUGAGUACAAUCAUCCACAACAUGGGUUCAACUCUUGGUGCAUGUGGUGACCUCAACAGGAACGUUCUGGCUCCAGCUGCCCCAUUUGCAAAAAAAGAUUAUGUUUUUGCUAAACAAACAGCUGACAAC
rnacentral:misc_RNA from 1 species